GACUUUCCGGUUCGACGCUCUGCAUUGCCAAAUCAACGUUUUUCAAGUGAGAAGUCUAAAAGACGCGCAUAGUGAUAAUUUCCGACUUUAAAAAAAUCGAUAAAUAAGUGAAUUAAUAAAUAAGUAGGUUUGGUUUUAGCUGUGUCGAAUGAAGAAACUAAGAAAAAGAAGGGAAAAUGUGAGUAGACAUUCUGGAAUGCUGACAUACGCUGGUGUUGGAGAAAUCUGAUUGCUGUGGAUCGAGUAUUCAACCUCGCGAGCUGCGUGGGCGCCCCUGUUGCUGGCCGUAGAUAGUUGCAAAAACGUCCACCGUCUCAACCGCUAGCAACUGGCACUAGUGUUGCAAAGUGCAGACAACAGACAUGCGGCCGUCCUUCUGUCAUUCCCCAAGGUUGGUUUAUGCUUAUUGCAUGCAACAACAUGCAUUUACCUGGGAGCUGUCGUCCUCAGUUUUCGCAGCCAUCGUUGUACAACUGCAAUGUUCAGGACCGUGGAGAAAGCGGAAAACCCAGAAGUCCGGUUAAGCACGAGGCCCAAUAGCGAAAUAAUGAGAAAUGGAAAAUGCCACGGACAUGAUCCGUAGUCCCUAGAUGAACUUCCAACCGCUUGUCAAGGUCUAAUUUAUCACUGGGAACCCAUUCCAGGAAAAAGGUUUUCCAGUAUGGCAAGAUGAAGUGGUAUCAAUGAUUGUGCUGUGAGGAUCGAACCAGCCUGUAAAGAACUCACCGGUAGAGGUAUUUGAGCAUUGGGGAAGUCGAUCUGUAAAUCACUUGGAAAUGCGAUAUUCAAAAGUUUCCUUUUUAAUUGGGAAAAAAUGGUUUUUCCAUCAUUAACAGGCAUAUUUGAUAUAUCAAAAAAGGCGAUCAGCCUUUUAUGUUGUAAUUUUAUAUUAACACUUUUGGUACUAGUACACCGUAAAUAGUGAACGCACACUUUGAUGUUCUGGAAUAACACAAGUCUCCUUGGAAUGCCCCUCCUUUCAAAAUCAUGAAUGUUACACGAGUUAAAGGACACUCAUCGAUGAGGCAAACUAGAAAAAACAAACAAAGUUCCUUUGUCAAGCUUUUGAUAAUAUUAUAUAUGUCCCCUAUAAUAACUAUAAGCGAUGAAUAAUCUGGAUCUUGGUAUGGUAUAUAUUGCAAAAUGGUUGUCUGAAAACUACUCUAUUACUAACACUUAAGAACUUGUUAUUGCUUGCACUUAGUAAUUUAUACACUUAGCAUCUUGAAAAAACAAAUUGUGGCAUUUGGGAGAAUGUUCAGAUAUGUGUAAGAGCAUUAUUGACAAGUGUGAUAGUAAAAAAUGCAAUGCAAAGUCUCUUCAAUAUUUCCAUUAUUGCAUAUAUUUUUCUCCUUAAUUAUUCUUUUCUUUAUUCAGGCUUGAGCUUUGGCUUUACAAACUAAUUUUACCUGAAAACUCUUAACCUAUGCUUAUUAAUAAAAAAAGUUUGUUCCUUUAGAGCACCUUGGUAGUUAAUGUAUUAAGUAAAGUGUAAUUAAAAAAAUACUGGUAAUUACUAUGUUCCUACAAAGCAUUGAGUAGUCUGAGAAUGCAAUGAUCGUACAUCGCUUCAAAGUAGCAAAAUAUUUUCAUGUGAUAUAAUUAAAGCAAGGUUUUUUUUUUUUUUAACCAAUGUAUAAAUUAGUUUGUGAGGACAAGGAAAGUUUCAGAUAGAUCGCAGUGAGGAUUGGAGUAUGCUGAAGUGGAAGACAACUUUAAUAAUUGGUAUUAUCAAACGAUAUAUACUGGUAAUUUGGUCUAUAUGUAAGCAUAAAAUUGUGUCAACUGUUUUUCCCCCUAAUUUUGAAAGUAGAAAAAUGUGCACUGAUUACAUACGAGUUUCCUAAUUGAUCUUAAUGCCUUUGUUUUGUUGAUGUUAAUUAUUGUAUAAAAAGAAAUUCUCAAAAGAUUUCUGAUAUAGAAGUUUCUCAUGAUUUUUUCAUGUUGGACAAGUUAUGUUGGCCCUUAAUGUUUUACUGUGUUUUAAUGUUAUGACAUUGUCUAUUGACAGUCUUACACCAAGAAAACAAUCAAUUGGGUUGACACUUUGGGUUUGUACUUGAUGUGAACUGAGCCAACCGUCGGGCUGGAAGCCAAACUUGAUAACUCGCCAUUAAUUAAUUUCAAAAUCAAUGUGGUUUUCAUGUCAGACGGUUUAGCGGGAAAACGUCUAGUGGGUAGCACCAUCUGUCAAUUCUGUUUACAAAUAUUGUUGGUGUGAAGGUCUGAAAAAAGGCAUGUUGUACCAUAUGAUCAGAAAAACAUUAAUAAUUGGCAUUGCUUGGUUUUCGGUCGAGAUUGUGGGAAAUCUUGCAUGAUGGAAACAUUGGGUUUUGGAAAUUAUACAAAAAUAAUUGGGUUGUACGAAGCAUUAACAAAAUAAUGUGUGUUAAUCAAAUAGGAUGCUAUCAAUUUUAGAAGUUGUAUUACAAAAGCGAAUUAUUUUCCUCUCUAACAUAACAUUUGACUGGUUAAUGAAAGUAUAUAUUUACCUUCUUUAGUAAUUGUUUUCCAUCCAUGCACAUCUGACAAAUCGUUUUUCAGUAUUUUUGAACUUGCCAUAUAUAUGCUGUGAAUUUUUAUAACAGUCAUAGCCUUUUAUUUUUACAUUUUAUUGUAUGGUUCCAAAAGUAAUGAUUCAUGUAGAAUCAGUUGGCGCUAUUAAAUUUUUAAUAAGCUGGCUCAUUAAGCCGACUUGGUGGAAUAACUUUUCCCAAAUAUAAUGCCCUAUUUUUUCAUAGAUUUUGAGUCUUUUAUUCUCUCUCUCUAAAAAAAAAAAAUAAAUAAAUAAAUAUAUAUAUAUAUAUAUAUAUAUAUAUCAGAAACUUCAAAAUUUACCUAUUCAUUUUGGAGAUGUUGAAAUUUUUCUUCAGAACUCAGUAAUUUUAAUUUACCAUGUAAUUGAUUUUUUGUUAAAAGCUACAUUAACCAUCAACACAAAUUAUAUUCCUUUUUAACCAGUUACCAAAACUGGUGAAUUUUGGAGGUUCUGGUCUCAUUUAUUUAUUUAUUUUUUUUAAAGAAUAAAAAGGAUUUUCAACAUGUGUGAAAAAAUAGAGCACUACAAUAAAGGAAAAACUGAUCACCAUGUCAGCUUAAUGUGGCAGCUUAUUUAAUUUACAGUACCAGAAGUUUCUUCAUGAAAAAUUACUUUUGGAAAAACUUAGUUUUACAAUAAAGUAUAGGAAAGUAAAAAUCAAAGGCCAUGAAUUUUAUCAAAACUCACUCAUAUGCUAACAUGGCUAAGUUUUUUUAAUAUUGUUCAAAUAUUAAUUAAAAUUAGCAUGGAUAUUAAACAAAGAAUUACUACUGCUGUUUAUUUUUAAACCUACCAAGUUGGUUAAAUCUCAGCUCUUAUGGUUGAGGAAAAACCCAAUAUAAGCUGUUUGGGAUAAUGAUGUUUUAUCAACCCUGGUGGAAAGUGUGUGAAAACUUGGCAUUUGAAGAGGAAAAAUACAAAUUGGGUUUUCAUUGGGUGUCACACUUAAUGCUCAUUGGGGGUCUAUCUUGAUAACUCGCCAUUUCUUAAAAUUAAAAUAAAAUAGGCUGCCAAUCAGCGAUGUGACACCAAACUGUACACUUAUUUUGUAUUUUCUUCCAUGCUAGGUACUGAAGUCCAAGGCAUGACUUACAACAGAUGCUUGUAGGACUCUUCACAGCAGAAGGUUUGAGAGAAAAAUAUGUUGUUGCUAGUAAUUUUUAUUAAUAAACGUAAAAAGCUGUAUUGAAAGUGAGUUAUAUCUUGUUAUCUAUUAUUAUUACUACUUUGUAUUAUUCUAAAACAUACAAUUCCAUGCGAUGAAUAUUAUAAAUACGCGUUAAAGCUAGCCUUUAUCCAAUUUAAACAUACGUCCCCCAAGAAGCAGCAAUAACAAAGGGUACAAGUUUUAUUUCAGGCAUAUUUAAUAAAUUGAUUUGUUUUACUUUCAGUAAGGGAUGAUGAAGUGAGAAAAGCACCCUCAGUACUUGCGCCUAGCCCACAAGUGCUGGGCCACUCGAUGGGCGAAUCUUUCACACACAGCUAUGGGGGUUUCGGGAGCUACACGAGCACUUUUGGCAGUUAUGCGAGCUCCUUUGGAAGUUACGCUAGCAGUUUUGGAUAUGGUUUAAAGCCUCAUGUCCUGCUUCCACCCCCUCCCCCUUCCCCUAAGCCAGUCAUCAUACAGGUGCCACAGUACAUAUUCCCGUACCAUCAGCACUACGGUUUGCUCUACCCAUAUGGUUAUGGGCAUGGUUAUCACAGCCCUGUCAGGCAUCCUGAAACUUUUGAAGAGCAGAACGACCACCACUAAACUCAUGGUUAUUCAAUUUUAAUAAAAUGUAUUUAUUUUAUGUGAUUUUGAAAUGCUGAAAAUAAUCGUUUUCCAUCAUAAUUUCAUUUUUUAUCUGCAAAAUUGGAUGCUUAUUAAGUGUAACUUUAAGUCUAUUGCAUUUUAUCAUUAUUGUGCAUUAAAUAAAAAAUAAUGUAAAAAAUUUACUCUUUAUAUUAUUAUUGAGUGGAGUAACGUUUUUUGAUGGAAAAACAUUUUGUGAAAAAUAAUUGUUGUGACUUAUAGUUUUCAGUGUUUCAUUUCUAAUCUUUUGUUUUAUUUGAUUAUAAAGUUAUUAAAUGUCAUUUCAAAAUUGUAGUAUGAGUAAUAGUCAAAAUACUUAUCGAAUAGAGGUAAAUUUCAGUGUUGGUGCAUGCAGUUUUAAACAAGAAAUAUCAGUGCAUAUAAAAGAUUGAAUUAUAAUUAUAGAUAAAUUUCAGUGUUGGUGUUAACAUUUAUAAUCAUGAAAUUUAAAAACUUAAUUAACUUAUUAAUAUCAGUUCAUAUAAAAGAAGAUUAAAGAUAAUUUCUGGUAGCAUUAAAUUUUACAUGGUUGAAUGAAAAAAGUAGAAUUUCAGUUAUAAAUUUGUUAUAUUCAAUAGCUUUAAUAGAAGUAGAUGUAAUUUGUUUAAUAUGAUAACACUAAGUCAAUGUAAUGAAUUUGUCAUUUUAUUAUAUUAAUGAGGUCACUGGACUGUGCAAUCAUAUUUAUAUAUAAAGUAGUAGGAACAACAAAUAUCAAGAUGAUGAUUUUUGAAGAUGAAGAUUUUUUUGCACAAUGAAAAUGAACAAGAAGAAAGAAGAUGGAUUGAAGAAGAGAGAAGAACAUAUGAAGAAAAAAAGUUGUGUAAGAAAACAGCCAAUUUUGUGUAUAAAGAUUUUUGUAAAUUUAAAUUUUUUACUACUUAUACGUUCUAAAAUUUAAAUAUUAGAUCCCAAAAGUUGGUAUAUUUUAUAGAUCUCUAAAUACUUUUUUUUAUAAUUCAUAUUUGGUUUUAAUGUUUUACCUAAAUAUUUUAAUAUGUAAUAUAACAUUACUUACUGAUUAGAAGUAAUUUGUUUUUGAUUAAGGAACAUAAUAUAGCAGUCAAGAUUUACAAAAUUUGUCUUUCGAAAUACUUAAUGAGUAGAGAUUAAAUUUUUGAAUAAGCAUUAUAUAUCAUAAAGUUACAAAUUAUGAACCAUGAAUUGAAUAUUCUUUAACUUUAAUAGCAGUAGAUGUAACAAAUAAAAUAAUAACCUAAGUCAAAUUCAGUGUUUUUUUUAUUGACUUUUUUUAAUUCUUACCAAGGCGAACUUUGAAAAUAAAGUGAAUAAAUGAGGAAGAAUGAAGAAUAGAAAAUCGACAAUUAAGGAAGGAUAAAGUAACAAAUGUAAUUAAUAAUAAUGAUCAUACAAUUUAGCUAUUCACAGGCUAAAUUGAUUAACUCUAUAAAACAGAAAACAAAGAUAAGUUCAUUCCAAACUUACAUAACUUAUCAUUAUAUGCAUUACAACAUAUUUAUUUUAAUGUUAACUAGAUUAAAGGAUUUCAGAAGUUCGUGAGUUUUAUUAAAAAAUGCUUAAUUAUGAUGGUUUAAAAGAAAAUUCAACAAAACACUAGAAAACAAUUUAGUGCUAGAUUAAACUUUAAUUGACAAUUUAUUCUAUCACUAAACAAUUUUCUGGUGUUUGGGUGAAUUGUCUUUCAAACCAUCUGAAUAUUUUUUUUAUUAAAAAUCCAUAAAUUUUUCAUUUGCUUAAUUUGGUUUGCAUUAACGUAUAUAAUUAUAUUCUUGGCUGUUUUAUGUCUUGGUGUUGGGUAGUGUAUUGUCCCUUAAUAUUUAAUGUGGGUGAAUUUGUUUCUUUUUCUUCUCAUUGUUUGAGUGUUUUUAUUUUUAAAACAAAAAAUGGUGGUGGUAUUAAAAUCCUGAGAUGCCGCUGGUAUCUUUUGGGACCUUAUGGAUUUCAUGUGAACUUGUUGAAACCAUGUUUGUUUUAAUUUUUUUAUUUCGCCCGGACCCAGGCUCGAAUCAGAUUCACAGUUGUUUUCGGUUAUCUUAUGUAGGUAGUCUUGUGCCCUAUUCUCUCAUGUGUUUCUAUCUACCUUUUGUGCUUUCUUUCUCUACUAUUCCAAAUUUUCUCUUUCCAAACUACCCCUCCCCCCGCACACCGUGGUGAAGCAACAGUAGGAGCAGUUGGAUUUGAACUUGAAAUCCAACUCAAUACAUGCCUACCCAGAGCUAGAAGGGUAAGUUAUUCUUUCUUCCUUUCAUUUUUUUUUUAAUUUUUUUUUUUUUUUUAUUUGGCAACAACGCUGAAACGCCGGUAUAGAUUGGUGAAAACAAAAAUUAUAACAAAAACAAAUACAGAAUCCUCCAUCACUUAAUAGAUCCAAAUAAAACAAUGGGUGAAGUGGAUAAACUAGUGGCACUAGACAAUAAUGCUAGACAUAUGCUAAAACAACUCUCCCGAAGACUGGCAAGCUCACUGCUAUAAUCUGAGAGGGCUAGACUCAAUGAAGUGAAACAUCUACAUAACAUGGACAUAUAUAAUGAUGAACUCAUUUGCAGAUUAUGUAAUGAGGAGGAAGAAACAGCCACCCAUAUAAUCUUUGAAUGCAAAGCAACAGCUCAAUGGAAACAACCUAGCAUAUAAAAACAAUCUUGUGAAUGAAAAUGUAGCAGUGACAGUCAAUGGUCUAAUACUUCAAGGUACAAUAAGCCAGAAGGCUGGAGUGCCUAGGGAGCACAUACAUACUUCCUACUAUCUUCCAUCACCUGGGCGUAAACACCAAUUAGUGUAGCAUGUACGAAAGGAAUACAAAUAAAGGACGAGAUUUAUAACAUGUAGAAUAGAGUGUAUUGUACAUACAUAUAUGCUGUAAAUGACAAAUGUACAAAUUACAAAAGGUGGACAAGUUCAGUGCAACCCUUCUGUGAUGAAAUGCUGCCAUUAAAAAAUGAGGUUAAAUGUCUAGGAAUAAUGUGAUAAAAAGUUAACCUGGAACUCCUUUCUGUAGCAUACCAUAACAAAAGGUAAAAUAUCGCUAAUUACCACAAGAAGAACCUUAGGCAAAUCUUGGAGACGAAAACCAAAAAUGGCCCAUUGGAUACCUACAACAGUAAUAAGACACAAAGUAACAUGGAUUACUAAUCUGGUGGAUCAAAGCUCAACAAAAACUAGGUAAAGGUGGAGAAGAUCAACAUAUAUACAUCGUUAACAGACUGUAAUAUUUUAGUUUUCACUAAAAUUGCUAAGCUAAGCUAAAAGCUUUUUCUAAGAGUUUUGACAGAUUUUGUCCUCAAUUUCAUUUGCCCCAAACCGCCCGUAAUUAAUGCUUACAUGUACGUUAGAGCUACAACAAUCAGGUCCUCAUCAUUUGCCAAACUGCCGUCAUCAAUCAAGAGAAUAACAUUCGCGAACUGUGCCAUUUUACAGAUAAGAUAAGACCCUGAACUAAUACAAACUCCAUAGAAAACAGCGUUAACUGUCAAAAAAUCUUGAAAUAGCGUCAACGUUAUUUGAGAGUCGUUAAAUAUAAAGGAGACCUUGAAAUAGUGGAAACGUUAUGCAAAAUCUCUUUAAUAAUACUUAGUGCCUAGGCUAGACUGAACAUCCUUCUUAAUGAUUAUGCAUAUUUGUGGUUAUACAAUUAUUCAAAAAAUCAUUUUCAUGAUUACGCCCAUGAAAACAGCUCACCUGGCCAUUGCAUUCUCUUGGCAUGGCUUACCCGCGUCUGAUACAAAAUCCUCUUUUACGAGAAGGAAAGUAUUGGAAAUUCUGCUUUACUGAAAAACUCCUUAUUGGAAAAGGCCGAAGAGAAACGAUAUAUACAUUUAGAAUCCUGCAACAGCAGAAAAUAAUACCGAUCAGCAAUGAGAGACAUCACCCGUCCUUUUAUUCUUACAUACGCUAAAACUGCAUCUUUCUUACUUAAGAAGCAUAAUCACAUUACCUGACAAUUAAUGCUAAUUUGUAUUGGUACAAAGGUCUCAAGUCCCCAGCUCCCAGAUAACAACCAUGAGGAAUAAUUAUAUAUUUACGGCUUUAAAAUCGUAUUCGUUUCAGGCAUUUUGAAAGGUGUACAGAAUUGGCCCUUAGAACCAAUAGAUUUCUGCUCUACAAGGAAUUUUAUCAUUCAAAGGCAUUUUUCCAUUUAACAUAUAAUAUUUCUUACAUAAUUAAUACCAAAUUCGCCUAGUAAAGCUCAUAAAACAUGGACAUCGCUCAGGCCAAUGUGGUACAAAGAUACACGACAACCUACUUUUUACAUUUUUUUUUUAAAUUUACAAUGCAGAUUUUCGAGGAGAUAUACAAUAUUUUUUGAGUGAAGUUAACGACUUAAACAGAGAGUCGAUAGAACCACACAAAUAAGUACAUUUGUUUCUUUGAAAUUCAGUUUUGAACGGCACAAAAAUGACUUACCAACUCUUAUGGGCGUGCAUCGGGGCGACAAUGAAAAAACGUUAACACAAAAUGCCACCGGUUGUAUCUUGCCUGUGUUCAGGAAACGGGUUGUAUCUGCACAACGCCUUCGUAUCACAUCGGCCUAAGCUGUCUGAAAGAUUGAUGAGCUUUACUGGGUGGAUUUUCUGCAAGACAAAGCUAUCGGUCUGUUUAGGAUUCAAGUGCGAGAUGCUUCAAGACAGGCGGUUAAAGGAAUUUCAAUUUGUUGUUAUCAUGAAGAAAUUUUAACGAAGUUCUACAAGAACGAUGAUAAGUAUUUUUAGUAAAAGUGUGAUUUUUUCCACUGGCCUGAAAAUCGCAGAAGAAAACAACAUUAAUCUUAAUGAGUAAUAAUAUACAGAAAAUUCAUAAGAAGAUCAUAAACAAUAUAAAAACUACAUAAAAGUUUUGCUUGAGACAUUAUUGCAUUUACAAAUAAUUGAUUCAAAUAACAAAGAUCUGAACUAUCUUGUAACUAACGCACAAUUAAAAUAUUAUUUAGAAAUACUUUGAUUGAAUAUAAAAAAAUUUUUUUUGCAUUGUAUAAAUUCAC